rnacentral:rRNA from 1 species
GACGAACGCUGGCGGCGUGCCUAAUACAUGCAAGUCGAACGCAGUGGGGACGGGUGAGUAACACGUGGGUAACCUCCCAUCAGAGGGGAUAACCCUUGGCAACAGGUGCUAAACCGAUAUUGGAGGCUGGUCCCUCGUUGGAUUAGCUAGUUGGUGAGGUAACGGCCUACCAAGGCCACGAUGCAUAGCCGACCUGAGAGGGUGAUCGGCCACACUGGGACUGAGACACGGCCCAGACGCCUACGGGAGGCAGCAGUAGGGAAUCUUCGGCAAUGGACGAAAGUCUGACCGAGCAACGCCGCGUGAGUGAAGAAGGUUUUCGGAUCGUAAAACUCUGUUGUUAGAGAAGCGGUAUCUAACCAGAAAGCCACGACUAACUACGUGCCAGCAGCCGCGGUAAUAC